AUGGGCAGCCUCGCCGGCGGGGUCGGGGCCAGGCGGCCGCGGUUCCUGUGCCUGCACGGCUUCCGGACCAGCGGCGAGAUCAUGCGGAAGCAGGUGGUGGGCAAGUGGCCCGCCGAGGUCACGGCAAGCCUCGACCUCGUCUUCGCCGACGCGCCCUUCCCCGCCGAGGGCAAGUCCGACGUCGACGGCAUCUUCGACCCGCCCUACUACGAGUGGUUCCAGUUCGACAAGGGAUUCACGGAGUACAGGAAUUUCGACAAAUGCCUGGCUUACAUCGAGGAGCUGAUGAUUAAAGAAGGGCCCUUUGAUGGGCUGAUGGGUUUCUCCCAGGGUUCGAUUCUAUCUGGCGCACUUCCGGGGCUCCAAGAACAAGGAUUGGCCUUGACUAGAGUUCCUAAGAUCAAAUAUCUCAUAAUCAUAGGCGGGGCCAAGUUCCGCUCACCCGCAAUAGCCGAUAAGGCGUACGCCAACAUGAUCAAAAUCCCCUCGCUUCACUUCCUCGGCGACAAUGACUUUCUUAAACCCCAUGGUGAGCAGCUCAUAGAGUCAUUUGUGGAUCCAUUCAUUAUACGGCACCCAAAGGGCCACACAGUCCCAAGGCUUGUUGAUGAGACGAGUUUGGAAGUCAUGUCCCGUUUCCUUGACAAGAUGGAAAAGGAGAUAUCUGAACUUCCAUCCGUCAAGGCCGAGGCCGAAGCAGCCGCUGAUGUUGACGAAAAAGAAGUGUGCAUCUGA
rnacentral:rRNA from 1 species